rnacentral:rRNA from 1 species
GAUGAACGCUAGCGGAAGGCAUAAUACAUGCAAGUCGAACGGAUGUAGCAAUACAUUAGUGGCGCACGGGUGCGUAACGCGUAUGCAACCUACCUUCAUCAGGGGGAUAACUACCCGAAAGGGUGGCUAACACCGCAUAAUACUACUGAAUGGCAUCAUUUGGUAUUUAAAUCUGAGGAGGAUGAAGAUGGGCAUGCGUCUGAUUAGCUAGUUGGUGUGGUAACGGCGCACCAAGGCGACGAUCAGUAGGGGAACUGAGAGGUUGGUCCCCCACACUGGCACUGAGAUACGGGCCAGACUCCUACGGGAGGCAGCAGUAGGGAAUAUUGGUCAAUGGUGGGAACACUGAACCAGCCAUUCCGCGUGCAGGAAGAAGGGUCUCUGACUUGUAAACUGCUUUAGCAAGGGAAGAAAAAGCUCAUGCGUGAGAAAUUGACGGUACUUUGAGAAUAAGCACCGGCUAACUACGUGCCAGCCGCCGCCGUAACAC